AUUGAACGCUGGCGGCAGGCCUAACACAUGCAAGUCGAGCGGAGCGGCGGACGGGUGAGUAAUGCCUAGGAAUCUGCCUGGUAGUGGGGGAUAACGUCCGGAAACGGGCGCUAAUACCGCAUACUAUCAGAUUACUCUAGGUCGGAUUAUCGAGGUGGUGGGGUAAAGUCUUACCAAGGCGACGAUCCAUAACUGGUCUGAGAGGAUGAUCAGUCACACUGGAAUGGAGAAAAGGUACAGACGACGACGAGCGGCAGAAGUGGUGAAUAUUGGAGAAUGGGCGAAAGCCUGAUGCAGACAGGCCGCGGGUGUGAAGAAGGUCUUAGGAUUGUAAAGCACGUUAAGUUGGGAGGCGUUACCAACAGGAUAGACACCGGGUAACUUCGGGCCAGCAGCCGCGGUAAUAG
rnacentral:rRNA from 1 species